GCUUUCUGCUCAUCGGUAGUAUCGAAGGCCAAAAAGCUGUCGGUAAUGUUUUUGACAACGAUAUUAUUGACGACUUUUUAGCCGUCACAAGGUCGUCGGUAAAUGGUAAUUACCGACGACUUUUUGUCAUUACCGAGGGAUUUAGGUCGUGGGUAAAUCCCUUCUUUUUUGUAGAUGUUGCCUAUAGGGACGAAAGCUCUCAUUGCCC
rnacentral:lncRNA from 1 species